AGCUUAGAAAUAUAUGUUUGCUCAGUUGGUUAGAGCAUGUUGCUGAUAAUGCCACGGUCAUGGGUUCAAUUCCAAUAUAGGCCA